rnacentral:rRNA from 1 species
CCUACGUGCGGCAGCAGUGAGGAAUAUUGGUCAAUGGCCGUAAGGCUGAACCAGCCAAGCCGCGUGAAGGAAGAAGGAUCUAUGGUUUGUAAACUUCUUUUAUAGGGGAAUAAAGGUAUCCACGUGUGGAUAUUUGCAUGUACCCUAUGAAUAAGCAUCGGCUAACUCCGUGCCAGCAGCCGCGGUAAUACGGAGGAUGUGAGCGUUAUCCGGAUUUAUUGGGUUUAAAGGGUGCGUAGGUUGUUGUUUAAGUCAGCGGUGAAAGCUUGUGGCUCAACCAUAAAAUUGCCGUUGAAACUGGAAGGCUUGAGUGUGUUUGAGGUAGGCGGAAUGCGUGGUGUAGCGGUGAAAUGCAUAGAUAUCACGCAGAACUCCGAUUGCGAAGGCAGCUUACUAAGCCAUAACUGACACUGAGGCACGAAAGCGUGGGGAUCAAACAGGAUUAGAUACCCUAGUAGUC